rnacentral:rRNA from 1 species
UACGGAGGAUGCAAGCGUUAUCCGGAUUUAUUGGGUUUAAAGGGUGCGCAGGUUGUUUGAUAAGUCAGUGGUGAAAGUCUGUCGCUUAACGGUAGGAUUGCCAUUGAUACUGUUAGACUUGAAUAUGGAUGAGGUAGGCGGAAUGUGUAGUGUAGCGGUGAAAUGCAUAGAUAUUACACAGAACACCGAUUGCGAAGGCAGCUCACUAAUCCAUCAUUGACGCUGAGGCACGAAAGCGUGGGGAUCAAACA